rnacentral:tRNA from 1 species
CUAGACGGGUGGGUCUUGAUCCCACAAAAUCCUAGUUAACAGCUAAGUGCCCAAACCAGCAGGCUUCCAUCUA